rnacentral:rRNA from 1 species
AUUGAACGCUGGCGGUAGGCCUAACACAUGCAAGUCGAGCGGUAACACAGGGAGCUUGCUCCUGGGUGACGAGCGGCGGACGGGUGAGUAAUGUCUGGGAAACUGCCUGAUGGAGGGGGAUAACUACUGGAAACAGUAGCUAAUACCGCAUAACGUCGCAAGACCAAAGAGGGGGACCUUCGGGCCUCUUGCCAUCAGAUGUGCCCAGAUGGGAUUAGCUAGUAGGUGGGGUAACGGCUCACCUAGGCGACGAUCCCUAGCUGGUCUGAGAGGAUGACCAGCCACACUGGAACUGAGACACGGUCCAGACUCCUACGGGAGGCAGCAGUGGGGAAUAUUGCACAAUGGGCGCAAGCCUGAUGCAGCCAUGCCGCGUGUAUGAAGAAGGCCUUCGGGUUGUAAAGUACUUUCAGCGGGGAGGAAGGCGAUAAGGUUAAUAACCUUGUCGAUUGACGUUACCCGCAGAAGAAGCACCGGCUAACUCCGUGCCAGCAGCCGCCGUAA